rnacentral:rRNA from 1 species
AUUGAACGCUGGCGGAAUGCUUUACACAUGCAAGUCGAACGGUAGAGGGGGCAACCCCUCGAGAGUGGCGAACGGGUGAGUAAUAUAUCGGAACGUGCCCAGUCGUGGGGGAUAACGUAGCGAAAGUUACGCUAAUACCGCAUACGAUCUAAGGAUGAAAGCGGGGGAUCGCAAGACCUCGCGCGAUUGGAACGGCCGAUAUCAGAUUAGGUAGUUGGUGGGGUAAAGGCUCACCAAGCCAACGAUCUGUAGCUGGUCUGAGAGGACGACCAGCCACACUGGAACUGAGACACGGUCCAGACUCCUACGGGAGGCAGCAGUGGGGAAUUUUGGACAAUGGACGCAAGUCUGAUCCAGCCAUUCCGCGUGCAGGAUGAAGGCCCUCGGGUUGUAAACUGCUUUUGUACGGAACGAAAAGGUCUCUCUUAAUACGGGGGACUCAUGACGGUACUGUAAGAAUAAGCACCGGCUAACUACGUGCCAGCCGCCGCCGUAA